rnacentral:lncRNA from 1 species
GCUCUCAGAUUUUCUACCUAGUGUAUGAAAAGUACAGUACUGCUGUUGAAAUAGGGGUAAACAGUGUAGUAUCUAUGGUCCACCAUCACUUCAAGCAGCAUGGCUAUGGAGAAAAGAAAGUUUCGUUACACAUGGGCAAUUAUAGUGGGCAAAGUAAGAAAAGUGUUGUGAUAAGGUAUGGAAUGUGGCUUGUUAUGAUGUGUCUACAUGAUGAUUUGGAGUACAACCUCAUGGAGACCAGGCAUACAGAAUUCAGUCCUGAUUAUGUAUAGAAUCUCUUCCUCAUGACCUGGUUCAGUAUCCUUGAAGGAUUACAACUUCAACACAGAGACAGGAUAAAUAUAUUUAGGCAGGGGGUUAGUAUGAGGGGCAAAUUUCCAAACCGUAUUGCCAUUCCUUAGCUGGAUGCCAGUCGACAGUGGUACCUGUAUAAUGAAAUAGUGCCCCUUUUCAGUAACAGCCAUGUAUAUUCAAAACCAGCAGUGCCAAAGCCAUUAAAACUAAAAACUCAGUCAUUUAAAACAAAGAAUGAAUAGAAAAAAGUGUUUAACAUUUACAGUAAUAUAGAAAAAGAGCUCGGCUCAUUUAGUAAUUUCUAAAAUUUUAAUUAAUUUGAAAGUUUAUUUUUUAUUUUUUAAUGGUGUACCAGACCCAUUUUCAUAUAUUUGAAUAUGAACAAAUGCUACAUAUAAUUUAUGUAAACACUGAAGUAACAAUUUCAUUGUAUCAACAGUAUUAUGCAUGGUAAAAUAUAGAACACAUUGUAUACAUGUAAGGCUGAAAACAGUAUAAAUGUGAAAUUACUCUAAAACACUGGAAGAGUGUUCAAUAAUCUACUGUUUAGUACCACAUCUGAUUUAUAGGUUAAGCAAAGUUAAGUAUAUUUAAUGAUGACUUUCUACAUUUGAAGUAACUACCUUAAUAAUAAAUAUUUUAGUGAAGAUAUAUUUAUGCAAUUAUAGAAGUUGAAAAAGCUACCGUCCAAGAAUAUUUUUGAAAUGAUAUUUUACUUGAAAUUUAUGUAAAAUGAAGGAAAGGGAUUUAAAAUGAUUUUUUUACUUAAAAAAAACGGUGUUGCCAUGGAAACAGAACAUGAGUAUUAAGUAUAUCUGCUUUCAUACCAGAGUAAUGUGACUUUUAAGUAUAACUAUGUAAACAGUUUAAUGUUAUACAAAUGUAUAAUCAUCGCUGAUACUUUCAGUUUUUAAUUGACACUGUAAUUAAGCAAUGCAUCUUACAUUUGAAGUUGAAUGACACAUUGAUAAUAUUAGAUAUUUAUGGAAUUGCUUUUAGAUAUUUUUGAGAUUAAUAUAAAUCAGAAAAAAAAAACAUUCUUAUUAUUCUAAAGAACUCAUGUUAAAUACUGUUGAUAUUGAUGGCAAAAUAUGAAAUUAAAAUAUAUGAUAAAAGUACAUGAUUUUAGUAUUUGUCAUUACUAUUAAACAAGAAGGGAUAGUGAGUUAUUGUAUAAAAAUGCUGCAAUUUUGUUGUUUGUAAAGGUGCAUGUCUAACAACGACAUGGUUUUUCAAUGUUUUACUUUUAUAUUAACCGGUCAUGAAUAACAUCUUUUUUACAGGAACAUCAUCAAAUUAAACCAAACUACCACAUAUGAAAUCAUCCAGGUUCAGUGAAAAUAAUAUAUUUGCUCUGCGUUGGUAAACAGAAUAUUGAAACGAAUACCUUUAAGGGGCUGUAACUGGAAAGACAUUUUAUUUUGUUUUAUAAAGUCUUAAAAUGUCCAUACUUCCAUUUUUGGCAUCGCCCCGACGAGCAAAGGCUUUGCAGGCAGUAAGAAUUAAACGUAUUGUCCCGGGCUGCCCCUGUUUCUCAAAUUCUUUGUUAGAUAUAACUAUAUUACCAUCAAUAAAAUGAAGCUUUUCGGUUUCAAAAAUAGCUUUUUGUGCAUUGUCUGCCAUAUGUACCAAAGUAUGCAAUCCACAGAAAAAAAUUGUUCAUUCUAGAAAUUUUUCUUCUUCACAAAGUUAAUUGUAAUUUUCAAUGACCUGCGGUAAUAUUUCAUUUCUGUAUUCUUGCAGUAAUUCAUUAAAUUUGGUUUCAGUAGAAGCACGGUCGCUCAUGUGUUUUUAAUGUUCCUUAAAAUUUGGUUACCGGUAACAUCCCCUGCCACAUCAUUUAUGUCAUUCAGAAUGUCUUUAAAAGUGUCUAAAGUGUCAUGACUUGAUUUAGUAGCCAUAUCUUUUAAACCCAAUAGCGUAUAGUUUCUCUCAGAAUCUCUAGCAGCAUAUGCCUCCCAUUCCUAACCAUACUUUGAAGCUUCGUCUGUAUGUAAGGUAGUAUUUUCAUUUGUUGAUGUUUCUGAUAUUUGUCUUUUAGCAAUCAAUCCCCUUUCAAUUGACCAAUUAUGAAUUGUUCCAACCGAUAGUGAUUUGUUUGGACUUAUAUUUACAAGUGUUAAAACACUA